CGUCGCUUCGUUUCGUUGAGCAGCGCAGGCGUUGCCCUUUGAAUGUUUGUUUGUUUUCGCCCUCGACCACCCUUCAUGUAAAGAGGAAAGCAAAGGAACCAGAGGAAAGCGCGCGUUCUCACGGUACGAUGUUCAGGGAGGAGUAGCGAGUCUGUAAUCGGGAUCGUCGCAUCAACCGGGGAGAGACAGGCCUCGCAAAAGUUCGCCGCAGUGUGACACACUCGCCGCCUUCUCUUUCGCUUACUUUACCAGUUUUCACGGUACUCUUCUACGCACUGUUCGUCGUACAACGCGAAAGAAACGCGCGGCCGAUCGUAGAAUCGCAAAGUGCGACCGGGACCCAGCCGCACCGGUGCCGGUUUCCUUCGAGAAAUCGAUUCGGUGAGGAAACAACAGCCCGGAGCCAAGCACAAGAAGACGAAGCAUUGAAAAUUGCAGUGUGAAUGAACGUGGACAGUCACUGAACAGAUAAAAUUAGUGACUAAUACAGAAGUAACCAUGGAGGACGGUCAUUGCAAAACAGUGGACGAGGUGGUAAAUUUCUUUAAUGUCGAUGCUGACAAAGGAUUAUCUCUUGACCAAGUUAAGAGGAACCAGGAGAAAUAUGGUCUCAAUGAAUUGCCAGCCGAGGAGGGAAAGUCCAUAUGGCAACUCGUCUUGGAGCAAUUCGACGACCUUCUAGUUAAGAUUCUUCUAUUAGCCGCUAUUAUUUCUUUUGUAUUAGCUUUAUUUGAGGAGCACGAGGAUGCAUUCACGGCCUUCGUCGAGCCCUUCGUCAUUUUGCUCAUUCUCAUUGCCAACGCCGUGGUCGGUGUGUGGCAAGAACGUAAUGCCGAGUCUGCGAUCGAAGCGUUGAAAGAGUACGAGCCUGAGAUGGGCAAAGUCCUGCGAAUGGACAAAGCCGGCGUCCAGAGGAUUCGUGCCAAGGAGAUCGUGCCCGGCGACAUCGUGGAAGUGUCCGUCGGUGACAAGAUCCCGGCCGAUAUCCGUCUAACCAAGAUCUUCUCGACUACCCUCAGGAUCGAUCAAUCUAUCCUGACCGGUGAAUCUGUCUCGGUAAUCAAGCAUACGGAUCCUGUGCCUGACCCACGUGCCGUCAAUCAGGACAAGAAGAACAUCUUGUUCUCCGGUACUAACGUAGCCGCGGGUAAGGCUCGCGGUGUCGUCAUUGGAACUGGACUGAACACCGCCAUUGGUAAGAUCCGUACCGAGAUGUCCGAGACCGAGGAGAUCAAAACGCCUCUGCAACAGAAAUUGGACGAGUUUGGCGAACAAUUAUCGAAGGUUAUCUCCGUGAUUUGCGUGGCUGUCUGGGCCAUCAACAUUGGACACUUUAACGAUCCCGCUCAUGGUGGAUCUUGGAUCAAGGGAGCCAUCUACUACUUCAAGAUCGCCGUUGCCCUAGCUGUAGCCGCCAUUCCCGAAGGUUUGCCGGCUGUAAUUACCACUUGCUUGGCUUUGGGUACCCGUCGUAUGGCGAAGAAGAACGCCAUUGUGCGAUCCUUGCCAUCCGUCGAGACCUUAGGUUGUACCUCUGUCAUCUGUUCGGACAAGACUGGUACCUUGACUACCAACCAGAUGUCUGUUAGCCGAAUGUUCAUCUUCGAUAAAAUCGAGGGCAACGACAGCAGCUUCCACGAAUUCGAGAUCACUGGUUCGACCUACGAACCAGUGGGUGAGAUUUUCUUGAGAGGCAAGAAGAUUCGUGGUCAGGACUACGAAACUCUUCACGAAGUCGGUACGAUCUGUAUCAUGUGCAACGACUCGGCUAUCGAUUUCAACGAAUUCAAACAAGCAUUCGAGAAGGUCGGCGAGGCAACUGAGACUGCUCUUAUCGUUCUUGCGGAGAAGAUCAAUCCGUACGGUGUCUCUAAGAGCGGAUUGGAUAGGCGUAAUACGGCCAUCGCUGCCAGACAAGACAUGGAGACGAAAUGGAAGAAAGAAUUCACUCUGGAGUUCUCUCGCGAUCGUAAAUCUAUGUCUUCUUACUGUACACCCUUGAAACCAACUAAAUUGGGUACUGGACCGAAAUUGUUCGUUAAGGGCGCCCCAGAAGGUGUCUUGGACAGGUGCACGCACGCUCGUGUUGGAUCUACCAAAGUUCCUCUUACGUCUACCCUGAAAAACCGUAUAUUGGAUCUGACUCGCCAAUAUGGUACUGGCCGAGACACUCUGCGUUGUCUUGCUCUUGCCACUGCUGAUCACCCAAUGAAACCUGACGAUAUGGAUCUUGAUGACUCCACGAAGUUCUACACGUACGAAAAGGACCUCACCUUCAUCGGUGUCGUUGGUAUGCUUGACCCACCUCGUAAGGAAGUAUUCGACUCGAUUGCCAGGUGUCGUGCCGCUGGUAUUCGUGUUAUUGUCAUUACUGGUGACAACAAGGCUACCGCUGAAGCCAUCUGUAGACGCAUCGGUGUCUUCGGUGAAGAUGAAGAUACGACCGGAAAGUCAUACUCUGGACGUGAAUUCGAUGAUCUUCCUUCGUCGGAACAGAAGGCUGCCUGCGCCAGAGCUCGUCUCUUCUCUCGCGUAGAACCCGCUCACAAAUCCAAGAUCGUUGAGUUCUUACAAAGCAUGAAUGAAAUUUCGGCUAUGACUGGUGAUGGUGUAAAUGAUGCGCCUGCUCUGAAAAAAGCCGAGAUUGGUAUUGCUAUGGGAUCUGGUACCGCUGUCGCGAAAUCUGCCUCUGAGAUGGUAUUAGCUGACGAUAACUUCUCUUCCAUUGUCGCCGCUGUUGAGGAAGGUCGUGCCAUCUAUAACAACAUGAAACAGUUCAUUCGUUAUCUGAUUUCUUCCAAUAUUGGUGAAGUCGUAAGUAUAUUCUUGACUGCCGCCCUUGGUCUUCCCGAAGCUCUGAUCCCUGUACAACUUUUGUGGGUCAACUUGGUAACUGACGGUCUUCCAGCUACUGCUCUCGGUUUUAAUCCACCUGACUUGGACAUUAUGAGCAAGCCUCCUCGUAAAGCCGACGAAUCUCUCAUCUCUGGUUGGUUGUUCUUCCGCUAUAUGGCUAUUGGUGGAUAUGUAGGUGCUGCGACUGUUGGAUCGGCUGCAUGGUGGUUCAUGUACAGUCCGCAUGGACCACAGAUGAGCUAUUAUCAACUGACUCAUCACUUGGCGUGCUUGGGCGGUGGCGAUGAAUUCAAAGGAGUUAAUUGCAAGAUCUUCACAGAUCCUCAUCCCAUGACGAUGGCUCUGUCUGUACUCGUAACCAUUGAAAUGUUGAAUGCUAUGAACAGUUUAUCUGAGAAUCAGUCUCUCGUCACUAUGCCGCCCUGGUCUAACAUGUGGCUCAUUGCCUCUAUGGCUCUUUCUUUCACACUCCACUUUGUCAUCCUUUACAUCGACGUCCUUUCGUCUGUAUUCCAAGUUACUCCUCUAACGGGCGAGGAGUGGGUUACCGUUAUGAAGUUCUCCAUUCCAGUGGUACUUCUCGACGAAACUCUUAAGUUCAUUGCCAGAAAGUUCGCAGAUGCAUUUGGAGUGUCUCCUUCGAUCAAGACGACAAAACUGGAACUGCCUAACCCGUUGCUGAAAUAUCAACAUAGAGAUUGUGCAUGAAGUUGAAAAAUUAAUGGAUCUCACCUUUAAACCCGUCUAUUAAUUAUGUCUUCCUUCCCUUGUAGACGAGUAAUUGCAUGCACAACCGUACUACCGAUGGUAAAUCCUAACCAAAACAAGAAUAUUCACCUCGUAGAACAAUCACUAUCAAUGGUUUUCGAAUCCUGCUGUGCUUUACCUAUUUCCUUGAUGAUACUCAAUCUGUUUAAGGCAUUCUUUAAUUACUCGAUAUUUAGCCUGGUACAAGUAAGAGUCAACUUCAACAGUGUACAGGUAAAAAACGAAAUUUACGUAUAUUUUAAUCUUUACCGUUGAAUUACAUUAGCACGGCAGGAUCAUCCUAACAUCUUUGCACUAUCAUUGCAUCCAUGCUGUUACCUUCACGUGUACUUUACUGGAUGUGAUUUGUGUCUAAACAAUCGAUGCCACGUAAUAGAUUUGUAAUACCACUAAUUCACCGGACACGGGCUGCAAAGGCUCGUGCGUAUAAAAUAUAAAAAAAAAAAAUAAUUCGACAUUGAUCUAUGGUCUUUGACAGUCCGUGUCUCGUCAUAUUAAUGUCCCUCAGGAUGGUGGUCUGAACGCGAGAACGCUCGAUCAGGAAGUAUAUCUUUGUUCCUAUUAACAACAAUUGCUGACAGUUCGAGGCAUUGGAAUCUCUUCGCUUGACUCUUUCAUUGUGGAAUUAUAGAUAAAUAGCGAACGAUAGUUUUAGCGUAUUUGAAUAAUAAACCAUUUCUACGAAAGUACAUGCUAUCAGAUGAAUAAAAUUGACUUUAAUCAAUAAGUCGACAAAAGUGGAUCACCGCGAUGAAAGAGCUGACACCAUCACGAACGUUCACUGUCCGAUAAUCUAUUUUUCUCCCCCUCCCCUUUUUUGUACAGAGACGCGAUAUAGUUUUCACAUAUAAGAAAUUUGUAAAAAUGAAUGUUACGAAUGUUAUUUACCCUGGACAGUAUAAAUGUGUUAGAUCAGUUCUUGUCACGUUACAAACGUUGUUCAGUCGAACGUCCAAGAGAACUGCAUACAUAGCUUUUCCUGUAUAAAUACUUUCAUAUCCUCAUUGUCAUCGUCGUCGUCGUUUUCUUCUUUCUCUUCUUCUAGUUGUUCUUGUUGUUACAAUCAACGUAGAUAAGAAUGCUCGAGCAUCGAACGAGAUUUCGAGUUCAGAUUCGCCAUCAGAUACCCAUGCUAUAUAAUAUACACGCGCCACAUGCGAAAGCGAAAGAUCCGGUGUCGUCACGAGUAUACGUGGGCCUUUUUAACGCAUCUAACCGCUGUCUCUUAGUCAUUUCUCUCAUUCGGGAUUUUAUAAAUCGUACCACGUUAGGAAGAUACGAGGAAAAAAAUAGUGUCAUUCGGCCGAGUCGAGUGCCGUGUUUUCAUACUUUUUUUUUUUUUUUCUUUUUUGGCGAGCAAACGAAGGCGAAAAAUAUAAAUCGGAUAAGCCAUUCCUCGACCACGUGCAAACGCAACAAGACUGACGAUGUGGCCUCGAGGAUCGGUUUGCGUACCUUUUGCGUUCAAAAAAAGACGAGACGAUGAGAACGUUCUCUCUUUUUUUCUCCGUUCUCUUUUUUUCUUUGAGUGUCCACCGUUCGUUCGACGCGACGAGUGCAUAUAAUUAAUUUAAUUCUGCGUGAGACAGCGUCAUUCGCAGUGUAACGACUAGUGUAAUAUAUAAAUAUACAUAUAUGUAUAUGUAUAUAUAUAUUAAUUACCGGUUAGGGCGCCAUACUACUUUGGUAUAGACAUAAUUAAACUUAAUCAGACUCAUGAAGCAAGGAUUCGUAAAGAAACAUCGAAAAGACUUGUACGAUCCGUUUGUCCACGUGCUUAAGGUGCAGCGCUAGAGCGUGCGCGCACUCUAAACCACGCUUUUAUUUUAUUUCAUACUUUUCCCUCCUUUUUCGACUGUAUUCAACUCACUAACUUGUAUGUUUUAUUCGAAAUAACGGAAUUUACUUUUUGUACAGCGAGAUAUGAUGAAGUAUCGGCACGAUUUUCUCCGAUAAUCUCGUGCCAGACAUAGUCGAUGAACAAAAAAUGAAAGUGUAACGUUAUAAAUGUAUAACUUUUCCUCUUUUUUUCUUUCCCCCUCUUCGAAUUUAAUUAUCGUAUCAGCACGGAGAUAUCAGCGAAGAUCAUGGUGCCGAUACGGUCAGAAAAAGCAAAAAGAAAUAUUAAAAAGGUGAUUGAAAGAAAAAAAAGAAAAGUAGAACGGUCUGACAGCACUUCAUCAACGCUCAAUAAACAUUGACGAGAGAAAUUCCGUGCUUUCUUUCGUUCACUCGACGUCUCGAACGUUUGUAAGUACUUGCAUAUUGUGUGGAUUGUGUUCUCUUCAUCUUUCACUUUUCCUUUUCUUUUGCUCUUCGUUUACUUCCUCCCUUCUAAUUAACUCUCAUUGACAAAAGAUCCGUGACAAAGAAGACGAGGAGCAGUAGAGAGUGCCAUCGAUGAAAGUGAAGGCCGAUGCAGCGUUGGGCAAUUGAUCGUACGUUUGAAUCGCGAUCGGCGCGCACCUUCGAGUAUAUCUCCUUCGAUCGGCGAUCGAAAGAGAAAUUAUUUUGGAAUUUGUCAGAAAAAAAAGAUACAUAUAUAUAAGUAUAUAUAUUUUGACCUAUCUACCUUCGUAGUAUAAAUCUUCUCAUUCACACCUGAAGAAGAUAUAACUCGAAACGUAUUGAUUAACAAUUGAUUAAUAAUUUAAAGAAAAAGAACGAAUAAAAUGCAAGAAAUGGAGAGAUAAAUAAAAAGUUCCACAUUUUUUCGCAAGAAGCUUGCCCAACGCUUCAAAUAACCUAAUCUAGUACGAUAUAGCUACGAUGAUGAAACCACGGUCGCAUCGUUCGUGCAGGAAGUACCUAUUUCUAAUGAUAUAAUGAGAUAAUAAUAAUAUUAAUAUUAAUAAUAAUAAUCAUAAUAAUUAAUAACUUAUAAUAGAGAGUGCGACUACAUUGAAUGAUUUUUUUAUGCAUACUCUCAUCGCCACGGAUGCACGUUGUGGCGAGCCACGGUGUGUGAUGAUCCUAAUUAAUUAGACCCGGGUAUAUUCAUAGUUUAACGAGUAACCGGGACGAGGUUCGAUCUUGUACACAGAAAGAAGUUAAUAGUAAUAUAAAGAAUUAUAAACGAUCGCGAGUUACUCACAGGAUCGCUAUGAAAUAGAACAGUCUAUAUAUAUAGAUACAUAUGUAUGUGUAUAUAUAUAUAUUAUACGUGUAUACCAAUAUUUCGAUCGAUGAUUGCAAAUUAAGAAAAAGACAACGUCGAUCGAUUUAUAGGCUACAGAUAUUUUCAUCUGUCGUUAGUAAAAAUCGAAAGGUUUAUUUAACAGUUUAUUUUUAUUUAUUCAUGUACACAUACACACAAACACACACAUAUAUACACAGAGAAGUUCGAAUCGAGACCGGAAGAACAAUUAUAAGUGAAAGUAUAAAUAUCGCAUCGCGGCUAUCAUUAAUCUCGAUACGAUGAACUGCGGUCCGAUCUAGUGCGUUACUUGUUGUAAUAAAAGAUAAGAAAAAAAAAAGAAAGAAAGAAAGAAAAACAAUGAUGUGUUACUCAUGCGUGUUCGAAGUUUCAUUGAUCGGCCUACCACGAGUUAGAAAUUACUUGAUAAGAAUACGGUAUAUACUUGAGAAGUGGCAUCUGCCGCGUGUACGAACAUCGAACACUUAAUACAAUGUGAACUGUAAUAAGUGUUUGUCUCCAUUCACGCCUGCGACUAUUUGUACCUUUUUCUCUCUCAUUCAUUCACUUCUCCCAUUCCCAUGAUCUGUUUGUAUCUUAUCCUUUACUGUACUACGACGUCCCGUGCCGUGGUUAAUAUUGUUAGCGAUUUCUGGGUGUACAUGGUACUUUUUUUUUUUAAAACAUAUUUUGUUUCCUCUUUCUAGUACUUUUCUUUCUCUGUUUAUUUAUUAGGUUUGGAUAUGAAGGAAAUAAAGGUUUUUGAUCACUCGAAGUGACUUUCUUAAACUUUAUUCCUAUAUUUUAUUCACUCAGUUUCUCGUAUUUUCUUUCUCAAUUUCUAAAUCGAAGUACCGGCAAAACGUUUGUUCGCGGAACGUUUAAUGGACACUUGGAGACCUCUACCAUUCUUAACUACCGUAACCUGGAUCAGAAAUUGCUCCAGGAUUCCGACUCGCUCCGUUAUCGACCGGACGUGCGAGGAAUGGUCGAAAGGAUGUGAAAUUCGCGAGAAUUCGCUCGUGGAACCGGAAGCGGACCAGUUCGAAAUCGUCAUCCGCGACUCGAAGCUCGAACAGUCACAACCAUCUCGCGUUAUAUUAUACAUCAUCAUCACCGGCCAUUCUGUGUUCCCCUCGGAAUUGUUGUUUGAAUUUUUUGCAUGCUUCCUCUGAACAGAUAAAAACACAAUUUGAAAAUCAAAGACGAACAGAAUACCAAUUUAUAACUGUCCUGUUGGCCUGAAUGACAACAAAAAAAAAAGCAAUCUACUCCUAAUCGAAGAAGUUGACCCCGACACACUUUUCUUUGCUAACUCCUGCCUGCUGAUGUGUGAAAACUAUUCAGUCACAGAGUAAAAACGUAAUGUCCGAGGAGAGAUCGCUGCUCCACGCGUGGAUCCAUCAGUGGCACCACCUGUGACGCCGCCGAAAUAAAGCUCGGGAACCGCGAUAGGACGAAAAUCGCCAGCAGUCCGGACACAGAGAAAAAGAUCGUCAGAAUGGCACUUAAACAACACCCACCCAAGCAACAACAACCCGCAAGCUGACCGAUGGGAUCGAGCCGAAAACAGAGAUCUUAUGAGACACCAUCGACACGUUAUACACCGACACACGCAUAUGUACACACAUACAUACACCAACCACACACACAAUGCUAUACAGUCGUAUACAUAUAGAAAAAGAACAGACAAAACGGAAACUACGAAACGACGGGGCGCGUUCUUCGCUUUCGUUAAACAAACCGAUUCUGUAUCAUUGGUAGAACGAGUAUGGCGAGUUUCAGGGAAAUUUCAUAGCAAGCGUAGACGAGGUCCGAGUGCCUGGGUUUGGGUGUUAAUUUCGUUGGCUGUUCUCUCGGUGCGUUGACACGUUUGCCAUCGGUGAUUUUCUGUGUUGCUCGCCUUCCCCCGUUUUCAAUGAAAAAGACGCUAAUUAAAUAUGUAAUAAAGGAAAAGACAAGAUGUAUAUCGUUGAACGUGUCGAUAUUUCAACAGUCUAGCAGUCCGAUAAGAAGUUUACAAAUUGUAUAUUAAUAAAAUAUGUUUGAAAUAUGUCUUCUAUCUAUAGACAAAAAAAAAAACUGAUCGAACACUUCGCUAUACUCGUUCCACCGAUUAUGCUCAAUAUAGUGAUCGCGCCCUAAUAGAGGGGUGUUUAGAGUCAGACAGACAGAGAGGGAGAAAGAAAGAAAGAAAGAGAGAGAGAGAAAGAGAGGAGGAGAAAAAAUUCACAUUCGAAGAGACAAAGGGGGUACUCGUCAUCCACGACAGUGCGAAAAAUGAUCGAGGAAGUUUGAGGUAAAGAAAGAACGAAAAAAACAGAAAAGAAGGGAUACGAUCGAUCACAGCUUCAGGCUCAGCCUUCGAGAUAUCAACGAACGUCUAAUCGGAGCAGCUUGCCAAGUUUUUCACGGUCGAUCCGCACGAGAGAUCGAAGGAUCGACGAGCAAGUUGAAAAGUCUUCGCGACACGGUGUAGGAAAAGAAUCGAACUAAUCGAUAUGUGCCUGUGUUAUUAUGUUGCAGCAAACGAAGCGGUUGUCGACAAGUGGGGUUAGGCUUGUCUCGUCGUGCUCCGUCGGCAACAGAAUUCCUCUGCCAAGCACGAACCAGAAAACAAACCAUACACGCGCGUACACACACACAUAUACCAAAAAAGAAAAAUCAAUAUUAAUAAUAAUGAUAUAACACUGUAACGAAAAGCUAGGUGAAAAGGAGACGCGGAAGAGAAGCAAGCACGGCCGAAAGCGAAGACACGAAACAGUGGAACCGGAGUGGAAGCGGAGAGGAACCAGACUGGAGCCGUGCGAGAAAUUCCAAAAUUCCAACACUUUCAGGGAAAGUCGAAAGAAAUUCCAGAGAAAUUCGCGCGAACGUUACGACGAUGUGAUAAUCACGAGUGAGAACGAAAGAUAAACGAAAGGAGAAAGAUUAAAAAUUCGAAUGAUUUUUGGGUAAAGAUACGAUCUGCUGUAACGUUAGAGCGGCUGGACUGCGUCGGUAAUGCAGGGAGGAGCUGAGAUAGAUCGCUCUCUAUUAUCAUUUUACACCUACUCCGAUUUCCUGGCUGGCUACCGUGUCACGCACUGCCGCUGCUUUUCCGUUUCAUCGUCUUCUGGUCCUGGCAGGGGUUUUGUUCGCGUGUUUCCUAUUCUUUGUACAGGGAAUGUAUAUGUACAUAAUAUACCGUGUCGUAUCGUGUCGUCGGUGACAAGCCGAAACGCCGCGAAGAGUAAAUGAAGAGAUUGAAAAUCGCGGUUUCUGAUGAAGAGUAGAUAACAAAAAAUGAAUGGAAAGGGGAAAAAAAUCUUUUUACGUUUUAUCUAGAGCAAUAUGCUGAUUUAAAUCUUUCGACCGACAGUAUGGUUGUUUCUUUUUUUUUUUUAGAGUCGCGUAACGAUGAAAUGGUGGAUGGUAUAACCAUCGACUUUUCGUUAUCAUUAAUUCUAUAACUUCUUUAACGUCGGUAGAAUUCAUUGUAGUGUUAGUUGGUAGAGUUUCUUAUCUUUAAAGGAGCUACGUUUUCUUCAAUUAAUUAGCAAACUAACUGCAGAAUCAUUGAUAUCUUUCUUUUUUAAAAUUAAGUAAGGAACUUAUUACCGGAUCUAUUUAUUUCACAUUUCUAGCGCAUUCUCCUUACAAACAACUUUCUUUUUUUCCUUUUCUUGUUCUUUCUCUCUUCUCCUGGCUUCUUUUUUUCUUCUAUCCAUUCCUUCUUCUUUCUCGAUCUUUCUUCUCUCUGUCUCUUUUUCUCUGUCUCUCUUUCUCUGUCUCUCUUUCUCUGUCUCCCUCUCUUUCUCUCUCUCCCUCUCUCUCUCUCUCUCUCUCUCUCAUAACUUCCACGCGUUUCUUUUCUCUAAUCGUGUCUUCUUAUCGCUAUCCUCAAAGACACUCUAUAUUUUCUACUGAAAAGAGACAUACCUGUGCAUCAUCCUGGAAAGACUUUUUCCCUUGAAAUGUAUUCAAGGUUCCUAUCUGAAAAAUACUCCAAUAACCACGAAACGCUCCAACGGACACCGUCGAACGUCUAGCAGAACGCUUGAAACGCGAUGAAACGCGCGUUUCCGCUAUGAUGAUCGUCACGAUGAUUCUAGUUCUCAGCCACCGAGGAUGUCGUUGUCAACGUCACCGAGUUCACAGUUCUUUCCGUUCCGAUUGUCGUACCUCGAGGAACACGCUCGAGCGAUUUUCGGCGAGAGACACAGCGAUCGAGGUGAAGAAAACCGGGACGUCGAUUGUCGAAAGUUACAGAAGGAACUUCGUCGUUGAAAAUUCUGUCGAAGCUCGGUUCCAGGAUGGAAUUCGCAAUGGCGUCGUAGGGUAACAAAUAACGACGAAGGCGACAACCGGCGGCGGAAACGCGGUGGGAAAGCAGCGAGAAUCGACGAUGCGUUACCUCCCUUCUGUCGUUGGAUCGUGUGGUACACGUUUUUAGGACGAGUGAAAAUAAUAAAAAUGGUAUAUCCUGAUCGGUGACGUAACUUUCAACGGAGGCUUCCGGCGUAACGAUCGUCGUUUCCAUUAAAACGACGAUGGAUCGAUACCACCUACUCGGAGGGUGUAACGAUCGCGGAAGCCUCCUGACGCUCACGAAACUUACGCCACUGGAGAGAAGAAUUUAAGAAGAAUUGUUAAUAAUAACGAUGUUAAAACAUACACAAAACACACACAGAAAAAAAAAGAAGGAAAAAAAUCGAUGAAGCUCGCGAGAUAUAAUUAUUGUACAUAAAAAGAGUAAUGAAAGGAUACGUUGUCACGCGCGAUAUUUAGAGAGAAAUUGAUUAUUAUUAUAUAUAUAUAUUAUGAUUAAGAGACAUUAAAUAUAUAUAUACAUAUAUUUUUCUUCGUGAAGAAAGCGCACAGACAGUCGCAGACCCGAGCGAUCUCUCGGACAAUCGAAUGGACGCCUCUCGAGCGAGAAGGAUUCGAAUCGACAGAAACGAAGAAAACCCGGAUCCCCUGUGCUUUUUCUUUCUCAGCUUCGUUUCCUGAUUUUCUUUUUCUUCUUUCGAGUUUAUUUGGUUUAAUAUUAAGAUGGAAUUAACUGCCUGUGAAUAUUUCUGAUUGUUAGGAGAGAAAAAAAAACAAAGAAAUUAUCUUUCUUUUACCUGGAUUCCUUUUUUCUCUCCAUCUGCUUCCUGUUUCUUAUCAUCGAUAUCGAUGGAAGAUGUUGCCACCCGACGAGUUACUCUCGCUUCCUCUUGUCCGUUUUCGUUCUGUUCUUGUUUCUUCUUGCUUGAGACCCUUGCUCGUAGCUAAUACAUCAGACGGUUCGAUGAAACGAUCAGUCGAUUCCUACGAAUCUUGGCGAGAACACGAACGCAACGAGAAAUUCGAUUCGGUUACUUUCACUGUCUGUGCUAGGAAGACAAUGACUCGUGGCUUGUUGGCAAGAUUUUUUACUCGACAUCCUACAAAGAAGUAACAAUCCAGCUGGCAAAGCUACAUUCUGAUAAAAAAUUCAUUAUCUUUAGAAUUAGAAAUAUGGAACUUCGUUCUUGUACCCACGAGAUCAGUUUAAACGUCUGAUUUUCGAAUUAACGAGCAGCAGGCAUCGUGUAUCGUUCGUCUAGAAAUCGUCCGAAUUUUACACACUGUUCGCUGCUAAUAAAUUACGUGGCAAUAAUUACAUAUUUUCGAAAAUUGCCUUCGACGCGUUGAACGCGCAACCAAUUUCGCUUUGCCUUCCAUUUAGCGCGUAAACGCGGAAUACGCGCCAGUGUACGAACAAAAGACGAAAGUUUACAUACAUAACGUUUAGCGUGUUAAGGCUAAGUAGCUGCGCAUUUUUGCCCGAUAGCGUAAUUUUCAAAAGCGUGUUCGAAUUGGGCGACGCACCGAUCCACAGCUAACCGAUGACCCAACCAACCACUGAGUCAUCCGUAAACGAAAACGUUGGAACGCGCAACGAUAUCGUUUUCAGUAAAUAGUGACACUUUUGAUCUCAAGUUUUUCCAUCGUGUAAGCUCGUUUCUAAGCUGCUCUUCCGCGUUCUCUGCCUCUUAACAUCUAUUUUCCACGUAUCGCCACUUCUCCCAAUUUUUCAAUCUAUCUUCUAAACCACUGGUUCAAGCUUUACGCAAAGUUUUAGAAAAUUUUUAAUAAGAAACGAUAGUUAUCUUGUCAAAUUUAAUAAGUUUAGUAUAUUAUCACAGUAAUUAUCGAAAGACGAAUAUAACAAGAGAAUCGAAGAUGGAAGAAUCGUAAUUUCUUCAAGGAAGAAAGGAAAAGACAACGGUGGUAUGCCAGCGAAACGGACAUCGUUUUGGUCCAUUGUUAAACGAAAGGACGUUGCCUAAUCGUUCUCGCUCGAGGUCGCAGUACACGUCGAGAAAUUUCGUUGUAUUCUUCUGAAAACGGCGGCAAGCCUUGCGUUAUUUUUAAUGUUGUACGUGAACAGCUCUGUACGAAUAAAGGUUUGGAAGUAACGGAG